CACUAUCCACCCCAAUAGUUAUUACAAAAUUAUUACAGAUCGAAUGAAUCAAAAAAAAGUUAAGAUUAGAUCAGUGGUACCAACUACAUAUAAUCAGCCUAAUCCAGACUCAAAGCCCAAUAAUAUGAGAUAAAUCAACUUCCAGAAUCAGAUUUCCAAAAGACUUUCUCAUAUUUGGAGUGCCUCAAAGUUCCCACGAGUCUUAAAGGGACCCCGGGCAUUGCUUACACCCCAAAACAUUUCAAAAUCAAGAACAUAGUGCAGUGUGGAAAGGCUGGCUUUCAGAUGUCCCAGUUCAUAGGGAACUCAAGGUCCCAAUGCAAUGCUCAAAAGAGAGGGGCAAAACUUAAAAUUCUAGUAACAAGUGUAAGUGCACAAAAGGGAAGAGAAUUAGGGAGAGAUAGGGGAAGCUAGUGGUCAUUCCCAGUAAUUGGAAUGAUGGCACACCCCUGAGCAGCCUGCUAGUCAAGCAUUGAGUUAGGAUCCAUUGUGGAUCGAGCCAAGACCUGGACAGUAGUUAGGAUACCGUCAGGCCAAGAGCUUAACUUAGUACAUACAAGGGAAUGGGGGUAGAUGAUUCAUAACAGAAACAGAAUCAAAGGAAGGAGAUGUGAAGCACAAGCUGCAACAUGUAAGUAGUAAAGUAAACAAGAAGCCUGAAGCUGUAAAGUAAAACAUAGGGAUGAGGCAGAAUAUUUAAAUGAAGGACAUACCAGUUUCAAAGAAAUAAGUAAGAAAAAGUAGCCUUGAAAGAGCCAAAUUCUAAACAGCAAUUCCAAAAUAUCUCAAGCAAAGCAAGAUUAGUAAACGGUAUUGCUAGAAAAGUGAGUUCACUGUGUAUUUUCGUGUGUAUUUUCGUGUGUUUCUGUAUAUGAGAGAAUUGACCGAUGAUAGAAAGAGGGAGGAGUAGGUACUUAUAUAAUUUAUGAAAACAAGUAAGGUCGGAAAAGAGUGUACACACAUAGAAAUGAAUCAAUUAGUAUCAAUUAAGACAAACUAGACUCCUUUAAUUAAGGGGUCUAGGUAAAACGGCUAAUCAAGAUGGAACAAGGAGGAAAAAUUAAUAUUCUAAGGCUUGAUUAAGGUAAGGAAACCAUGUAGUUCCCAAAUAAGGCCAAAUAAAUAAUUGGUAAUUAUGGAAAGAUGGAAUAGUAGUGUGAAAAAUAAGGUAAAAAUAAGGUAUCAGUUUGAAAAUCAGUCAAAAGAUCCCGGAUCCAAUUGUAAUCACAAAGGACAUAAAGUAAUUAAGGAAAUAAAUAAUUCAAAUAUUGGUACAUAAUCACAGAGGAUACACAAGGCCAUGUAUUUAAAAAAGCAUCACCAGCCUAGGGUUUUUACACUAAAGGAUCAAAAUAAACAGUAAAUCAGUGCUGAAUCAUUAGCAUGAUUGAAAUGAUUUCAAAAAUCAAUCAUUUUAAAGGGAAGCUUUUCCCUUAUAUAUAAAGCACACAGAUCAAACCAAAUGACAGUCUAAUAAUGAAAAUUUCAGAAUCACAUACAAGUAGGAUUUUGAGUUCGAUUAGAGGCACAUCGUGAGUCUGUAAACCUAGUGUUUCAAAGCGAAACCCUACUGCCAUCUACCCAAAUAAAAACCCCCAAAUUUUAGGUUUUCAAAUAGAAUCAGAGAUAAGAAAUCAUUGAGAAAAGAAAACAUACGUGAUAGCAAACAUAUUGUAUCAAAGGCACGCUUGAGAAAAUAUCGAAACUCAAUCAGAUCUCAGAAGUUUAAACAAAGCAGGUUAGAGUUAAACUCAACAAGAAUACCAAUAAACUCUGUACAGUGAAACAAAAUUAAAGAGCAUGAACAUAUAGUGAAGAAAAUAAGGAAUAAACAACCCGUUUAAUCAUGUGAACAAAGAAUAGAAAAAGAAUCUCGUCAAACCAGGAAAGAAAAUAAGAGAACAAACUUAAGCAUGAUAAUAAAUAAACAAGUGAGCAUAAACACACAUAAGAGAGAGAAAAAGAGUCAAAAACCCAUUGAAGAAGUUUUUCUAGAAACCGUAAAUCGGAUUUGAACAAAUUUGGAAAAGCAAAUUAGGGGAAAAGUUCUAAAACAUCUAUUAAAGACCAAACAAAUCACAGAUCUGAAAGAAAUAGACGAGUAGAGAACCUUAGAAAGACUUAAAAAAUGGCAGAGAAGAACCUAGGAUGAGAAGGUCUUGAGGAAGGUCGGAUCCUGAGACGGAGAGACUCAUACUGCUUUGAACAUGCCGGAAAAUGGCCAGAGAGGCCAUGGAUCUUGCAGAUCUAAGAUAUAUCUAAAGCAAACUAUGGAAUUCAGGCCUCCAAACUUUGAAAAGCUUAAGUUAGGGGGUGAGGGAGAGUGGGUAUAGGCCAUCCAUGGGCAGGAUUGCCAUGGAUUCCUGUGAGAAUCGAAGGGGAUUAGGGUUAAUUUGGGUGGCGGAAAUUAGGAUUUGAGUGAGGAUUCAGAGAGAAUUGGAGAGGAAGGGGAUUGAAGGGAGGCUGGUUGGUGGGAAAUGAAUUAGGU
rnacentral:lncRNA from 1 species